GACGAACGCUGGCGGCGUGCUUAACACAUGCAAGUCGAACGGAAAGGCCCUGCUUGCAGGGUACUCGAGUGGCGAACGGGUGAGUAACACGUGGGUGAUCUGCCCCUUACUUUGGGAUAAGCCUGGGAAACUGGGUCUAAUACUGGAUAGGACCAUGCUGUAGGUGGUGUGGUGGAAAGAUUAGUUUCGGUAAGGGGGGUGCUCGCGGCAUAUCAGCUUGUUGGUGGGGUUAUGGCCUACCAAGGCGUCGACGGGUGGGCGGCGUGAGAGGGUGUACGGCGACAUUGUGAGUGUGAGACGGCGCAGAGUCCUCCGGGAGGCGGAAGUGGGGAGUAUUGCGCAAUGGGCGCAAGCGUGAUGCAGCGACGCCGCGUGGGGGGUGACGGGCUUCGGGUUGUAUACUCCUUUCAGCCAUGACGAAGCCCUUGUGGUGACGGUAGUGGUAGAAGAAGCACCGGCUAACUACGUG
rnacentral:rRNA from 1 species